rnacentral:lncRNA from 12 species
UUUGGAAUGAAGUGCAAAAGCUCAUUUUCACAGCCCUGAUCUUGAAUGCAAUCAUGGGAAAACCAGCAUGUGGUUUGAGCUUUGAUUAUGCUACAGGUGUGCAGGUGCAUAGGAGGCCUAUUAAAAUUCUCAGGACAACAGACAAUACCAGUGGAUUCUGACUUCUGCAUUUCAGAUAAAGAGAG